rnacentral:rRNA from 1 species
UACGGAGGGUGCAAGCGUUAUCCGGAUUCACUGGGUUUAAAGGGUGCGUAGGUGGGUUGGUAAGUCAGUGGUGAAAUCUCCAGGCUUAACUUGGAAACUGCCAUUGAUACUAUCAAUCUUGAAUACCGUGGAGGUCAGCGGAAUAUGUCAUGUAGCGGUGAAAUGCUUAGAUAUGACAUAGAACACCAAUUGCGAAGGCGGCUGGCUACGCGGAUAUUGACACUGAUGCACGAAAGCGUGGGGAUCAAACAGG